rnacentral:lncRNA from 1 species
GUUUUGCUUUCACACCAGGAUGUGGUUAAUCAUUCCCCGGCAGCAGCACACCGUGUACCGGACGCAGCACAUCGCGCCGCUCGCACCGAGUCCUGGUGCUCCGCAACCUCAUCUGGGGCCAUGCUGUGGGAUUUGCACUCUGCCCCUUUUUUAUCAGCCUCGGUUUCAGCACCGGGACUGCAUCGGUGCCAACCUCCUCCUCCCGCAUCGCCGCUCCUUACCUUGAUGUUGCAGAAGAUACCACGGGAACAGGUGCUGGAGCUUCUGGGGAUAUCCACUGGGGACUUGGCGGCUUCGGGAUGGACCCCCAUGGUGCACCCCAGCAGAUGGGCUGUGUGAGGGCUCCGGCCCCGUCCUGCUCCGAAAACGCUCAUAGAUUUCAAGAUUAAAGAAACAC